AGUGCCGGGUGUGGCCGCCCCGCCACCCCAGACUGGCCUUGGGCGCUCCAGGGUUGAAAAACAGGUCCUGGGCUAUACUAUGACUUAUCGGCCGCUGCCAGUCACUUCUUUCCUACGUUUAGAGUGACUUUUUCCUUGAUAAAAAUCGUGACAGGCAUUUGAUCUCCCAUUUCUAACUUCUUCCCCCUUAGGAUUUCUGGAGGGUUAUCUCCACACACACCCCCCACCCGACCCCCACCCGGUCAUUCUUGAUUUGAAAUCUUAGUUCACUUUUCUUUCACUUACAGCUCUUAACAGCUCUUAAGGCUUGGUUGGAAUUUCUCUCUGAGGAUAACUUGGGAAGCCGGGGAUAGUUUACCAGAAUCUCAGCAACACUGGCCUGAGAAGCAGCCCCCACAAGGGGUGGGCGUGGGGCUCCCUAGCGGCUCCGUGCUGGGCCACAGGCACCAUUUUGAGCAAUAAUCAUGCAUGACACUUAAGAACAAACUUAGUUCUCCGUAUUGCUUCAUAGCUUUUUAACUUCUGAAAUUUCCGUUUUGUACUCCUUGGUUAAUCAAAGGAAUUUUUAUUUAAUGCUUUCUCCUUUAAAAAAAACACGUUGGGUUCUUUUUAUUCUACUUCAUCCCCUCUAUCCCCUCCCCUUCUCCUUUCAUCUUGAUCAAAUAUUUACUUCCUCCUCUUAGCCUCGGGGGCACCAGGGUGUUUUUCUUAGAGUCUUGCAUUGAAUGCUCACUUAAAAUGUUAACUGUUUUAAACUGUAGAGCCUGUCUGGGUUUGGAUGUCAGGAACUCUGCCGAUGUUUUUGGUGCUGGGAGUCCAGUGUAUCCGCCCUCUCCCUGCUGUAGCAGCCCUUCAGGCGGACACUGGUUCUGCAGUUGUCAUAAAGCACCUACUGGGUGCUCUGCAGUACGUGAGAUGGCCACAAGCCCUUAAACCCAUGGGUAAAUGUCAUCCUAGGCACCUCAGUCCUCUAACCGUCUCAUCUCUUGGACCACUCCCCAAAACCUCUAAGGUAAUCCUCACGGCUGUCCGUUCCAGAAAAGUAUUCGCCCCACUUGACAGCUGUGUUUACCAGCUAACAAGGCUGAAACUGGAUCCCCACCUCACUGAGGCAGGGCUGACUGAGCCACCCACUUGCCCACCUACCUGCCUGGGGCUGCAUAAAAUUAUCCCUAUCAGCUGCAGCUCCAAGUACUGGCUUUCAACCCACCAGCUUAAUGACCCUGGGGGGAAUUUGGGCAAUUUAGUCCCCUCCCCUGCAACUCCCUAUCUAGCUAGGGGGCUAUUAAACAAAUUCACUGAGCCUUAGGGCAAGGGGCUUAAUUCUUCUGGGCCUCAGUUUCCCCUAAGUCCUAAGUGAUUAGGGACCAGUACUGCAUGAACAACAGUAAAGGCUGAUGGGAGCUGCUGUUUUCUUCUCUCAUGUUCUCUCUGCUGCCUCCUCUCCAGAACAGCACUGCCCAGUGGAACUUUCUUUGGUGAAGGAAAUGUUCUAGAUCUGCACUGUCCAACAUAGUAGCCAUUAGCUGCAGGUGACCAGUGAACAUUUGAAAGCUGGCCAGUGCGACUAAGGAACUGACUGGACACAAGAGGCCUUCCACAAAUAUUUGUGAAGUAAAGGGGAGGCAGUGGAGGAAAAAAAAUCACAUAAAGGACUCCUUGUGACACAGCAGAAACGUGUUAAGCACCUGUCACCUCAGGCCUCGCCUGCAAGUGUCCUGGUAAGCCUCCCUGCACAAGGUCUCUCGUUCUGGGGCACCACCCCUGAAUCUCCUGUCACCUGUCAAGCCAGCUCCCCUGAGAUGUGCAGAACCAUAGGCGCCCAAUGCCCCCCCGACAGCAGCUAGAUUUAGGAAACUACUAGACCAUCCAGAAUUGCAUGGCUGGGAGGUUUGCCCACAUGGGACUUAAGUUCCAGAGAGGAUGAGACACAGACCUAAGCCAGAGCCACAAAGAUGGGAGGAGACCUUAGGAGACUGGAUCAACCGGGGGAACAGAAACCAUGUUGGGUGGAUACAAAGUGCUUGUGUUGCUGGGGACCUUCCAGGUAAGGUUUGGUUUAGUGACCUGUGCUCAUGGUUAGAAGGGAGGUUUUCAUUGUAGAGAAUGAAAGGAAUGACAUGAAUAUGGAAAAGAAAAACAAAUUAUUAAUGUUGAGCCAUCAGGCUAACAAAGGAGUCCAGGAAAGGGGGACAAAGAGUCAGUGGAGGCUCUCGUCUAUGUUGUGGCAAACAGAACGUCAUCACCAAAGAUGGGGCCAGGUGCAGGCUUCACAGCUGAAGACUGCCAGGUUGCUCCGAAGCCACUUUCAUGAGAGCAGAGAACAAAGGCGGGGAGAACACCCAAAGUUCUCCUUACAAAGCCAGUACAUUCGGAUACAGAAGUGUCCAAAAAUAACAAACACAAAGAAGAAAACCACCCACCUCCCCAACCUAAUUUAUGAAUAUUGAUGAAAAAAUCCUAAAGAAAUAAGUUAACAGACACCAGCAACACAUUACAACAAGGGCACUUCUAUGAUUAUGUCACUGUUAAUUGUUCAAAUGAGAAAAUCCCCAUGGUCGCUUUGGAGGGGGGAAAUCGGGGCUAUUACUAAUUUUCAUUUUUUAGAAAGGGUGAGGUGACUAUUUCUUUAUCCAGAUAAAAACUGAUUUGAAUCACAGAAUCCAGCAGCAUGCUUGUCAAAACCCAGAGACUUGCCCUUUUAAGUCUAAGACCAGAUACUGAAAUCAUCACACACUCAGCCCAGUGUUUUGGAAGUACCAGAUAUGAUGAAUGCAAUUACAUGAUCGUGCAAAUGAAGUAAAAUAAUACAACUGCCUCCUCCUUUAUACUUGCCAGUAAGAUGACUUUGUACUGAGAAAAUUAGUGAGACUCUAACAAAACUGUUACAAAUAAUAAGAGAAUUUAGCAGCAUGACAGGUUCAUCUGCAACAACUACGCAAGACUGCAAGGGACGCUUAACCUGAGCAGAUUAACAGCAACUACAGUGAACUCCCAACAGCACUUGGAAGGCCUGACUAGCACAGUGAGGUGAGCAGAUCCCUCUGGACACCUGUGCCAAAACUCAACUGAGACCAGUUCUGCAUCAAGGAAUGUCUGAAUCCAAUCAAAUGUUAAGACACAUUCUAACAAGAUUUUCUCAAUGAAUCCUGACAAGCUGAUGGUGAGUGUUCAUUUGGUUGAGAACAGAUAAUAGGUGUGUUGUUUUCUUUUUUUUAAAUAAUGAGAGGAACUACCAUUUAUCCAAGUUUGUUGUAAAGUUACAGUAAGUACAGCAAUAUGGUGUUUACUCAGACACUGACAGAGACCAAGGGAGCAUAAGGGGCCAAGAAGGCCUGCACAUGCUGAUGACUAUGGGAAUCAAGUCUAUGAUAAAGAUGGCGUUUCCAAUAAUCAGAAGAACCAAGUCAGAAAACGGUGUUGAAAAAACUUGUGCCCCACAUCAUAUACACAAGGAAACCCAGUUACAGGAAACAGCUAAAAACCCCCCACAAAAAUACCAGAAUUGACAAAAGUAUUUGUACAACCUGCCUAUGUAUGACAUGAAACCUAGAAUAGGAGUAAAGACAGAUUUGAAAGAAAAAAUAUCUGAAAUCAUAAAACUUCUUUAUGGAGACUAAAUGUAAAAGAUAAAUGUUGGACUGGUAUUUGCAGUAUUAACAUCCAUAACAUAUAGUAUAUAGAGUCCUUCUGACCACACACACACAAAAGACAAACCAAUAGGAAGAAAAAAAGGAAAAUACAUAAACUCACAAAAGCAAAAAUACAAAUGAUCUGUAAACUUAUGAAAAUGCGUGCAACUUCAUGAGGGAAAUGUGAACUAAACUGAACAUAUCUUUUCCCAUCAGAUCUGCAAAUCUUAAAAGAGGACUAUAAAUCACUGGUAUCUUAUUAUGAAAAGGAAAAGGAGCUCUCAUGCUCUUGAGCAGCUAUAUGUAUUUU